CCUACGGGAGGCUGCAGUGAGGAAUAUUGGUCAAUGGACGAAAGUCUGAACCAGCCAAUUAGCGUGAAGGAUGACUGCCCUAUGGGUUGUAAACUUCUUUUAUAAAGGAAUAAAACGAGGCACGUGUGCCUUUUUGCAUGUACUUUAUGAAUAAGGAUCGGCUAACUCCGUGCCAGCAGCCGCGGUAAUACGGAGGAUCCGAGCGUUAUCCGGAUUGAUUGGGUUUAAAGGGAGCGUAGAUGGGUUGUUAAGUCAGUGGUGAAAGUUUGCGGCUCAACCGUAAAAUUGCAAUUGAUACUGGCAGUCUUGAGUACAGUUGAGGGAGGCGGAAUUCGUGGUGUAGCGGUGAAAUGCUUAGAUAUCACGAAGAACCCCGAUUGCGAAGGCAGCUUACUAAACUGUGACUGACAUUGAUGCUCGAAAGUGUGGGUAUCAAACAGGAUUAGAUACCCGUGUAGUC
rnacentral:rRNA from 1 species